AGUCACCCAGCGUGGCUGGGGUAACCCAGUCAGAUGAACAGCAUAUAAAUAAUAAAUUAUUAUACUGUGGUAAUAAUAAUAAUAAUAAUAAUAAUUUAUUAUUUAUACCCCGCCCAUCUGGCUGGGCUUCCCCAGCCACUCUGGGCGGCU